GAUGAACGCUAGCGGCAGGCUUAACACAUGCAAGUCGAGGGGCAGCACGAUGUAGCAAUACAUUGGUGGCGACCGGCGCACGGGUGCGUAACACGUAUGGAACCUGCCCUGUACUGGGAGAUAGCCCUCCGAAAGGAGGAUUAAUAUCCCAUAAUAGCUCGGGUGGCAUCACCUGGGUUUGAAAGCUCCGGCGGUACAGGAUGGCCAUGCGCACGAUUAGCUAGUUGGUGAGGUAACAGCUCACCAAGGCUACGAUCGUUAGGGGGCCUGAGAGGGUUAUCCCCCACACUGGUACUGAGACACGGACCAGACUCCUACGGGAGGCAGCAGUGAGGAAUAUUGCGCAAUGGAGGAAACUCUGACGCAGCCAUGCCGCGUGCAGGAAGAAGGCGCUACGCGUUGUAAACUGCUUUUAACCGGGAAGAAACCCUCCGACGUGUCGGAGGUUGACGGUACCGGAGGAAUAAGCACCGGCUAACUUCGUGCCAGCAGCCGCCGUAACAC
rnacentral:rRNA from 1 species